UAGCACCUACCUGAAUUAUCAAUUAUCAGUUAUCAAUUUUUUUAUACACAAAAAGCUCUGCACACGUUUUAGAUAAAAAGCUCCCCUUUCUUUCUUUCCUUGUUUUUUUUUUUUUCCACUGAAGCUCAUCUUCUCCCUAUUCUCCAUUGCCACCACGAGGCAACUUAAUCGUGCGUGGUCCUCGAUCUUGAACUCGCCAUUCUCCAAGAUUCACUGUGCGUUCUUGAUCUCCUUGUUCUCCAAGCUUUAUCACGCUCAGAUUCUCGAUCUCGGCAUCAUCAUGACGAGCUUCGUCUUGGCUAUUCUGUCUUGUGGUUCUCCAAGCUUUGUCACGAGUUCUCCAAUCCAGUGUUUGUCCAAGCUUCUUGCUGCGUCCUUGUCAGUAUGUGUAUUUCCAACCGAAACGAUUUCCAGAAAGGUUUAAUGAAACCCUGAAACGUCUUUGUGGUCAAUAGAUUUCAAAGAGGAAACGUCGAUGCUAUGGUGUAGAGGAACAAGGGAGGGGGUGGGUGGUAGGGUUGAUGAUUAAAAGAGAUGGGGAUGCAAGGAGCAUAUACUUUCCUCUGCGUUGUGCUUUAGCAACUGCUCCGCUCAUUUUUUUUUUCCAAUUAUGCCCUACUCUCGCUGGCCAUCACCUCCUAUUCUAUCCAUUGUCCUUCGGAAUCUCCUUUCCCAUUCCGCCUCUCCCAAAACCGUGCCGUUGUGUUCUGCUCUGUCGAAGAAGCAGCCGCUAAGUGCCAACGGUAAAAGUGUCGCCUCUGUAUCGAGCCGCCCCUGAAUGCACUUCACCUCUCACUUUACUUGCAAUGCCAUUAUCAAUUCAUUACUUUCAUGUACCGGGCUAAGAGGUAUAACGAUUUAUUUCUUUAACCAGUCCUAGAUGGUGCCCAAUAUUGGGUCUUAUAUUUAAUAUAAGGGUGAAGGUGUAUUUUUGUGCGCGAUGUAUUUUCUGAGGAGUAUUUAAUAUUCUAAAGUAUUUAUUAGAGUAAUUUUGCCCUAAUAUUAUCAAAACAGAACAUUUUUGCCCUUUUCGUUGAAAUUCUAAUGUUGAUUGGUAGAAAAUUUAAUGGAAAAAUUUCAACAAAAAGGACAAAAAUACUUCAUUUUGAUAAAUUAGGAGUAAAAUUGCUCCAACAAAUAUUUUAGAGUAUUGGGUUAUGGUAGGGACAAAAAUGCACCUUUACCCUUAAUACAAUAGCCAAUGAGCUUUCUUCAUGAUAGUGAGUGGUAAAGAUGAACCGAGCUGCAAGAUGAAUGAGAGAAUGUGUAACAUCCCAAUUUAAAUUUUAAUAGUUAAUUUGAUUAAUUGAAAUUUAAAAAAAUAAUAUUUAGAGGUAAGAAAAUUAGUAAGAGAUGAUUAUUAAAUCUAACUUAGGAUAUAAUUCUAAAAAAAAUUUAAAAAAAUUAAAAAAAAAUUAAAAAAAUAAAAAAAAUAUUAUUAAAUUAUUAUUAUGAUAAAAAAAAGGGAAAAGGUAUUAAAAAAAAGGGGGAAGAAGAAGAAGAACAAAAUUGCUUUCGGCCGCCGCACAACAAUCAUUAUGUAUAUAAUAAUAAUAAAAAAAAAGGAGAAAGAGAAAAGAAGAAAUAAUAAAAAAAACUGUGUGGGACCCACUGAAUUUUUAUAAAAACUCACCUGUUCCUUCGUUUCUUCAUUCAUUCCUUCGUGCACGCUGAGGCAGAGAGAACGCGAGUCGCCGGUGCGAAAUAUCUAAAUUUUUAAGGUAAGAGUUUUUAAUAGGAUAUUUAGGGUGUGAUUUUAAGCUUUUCAAGACUAAGUAAGUGUUCUAAAAAAUUUUUUUAGUCAUCCUUCUUCUUUGGUUUCUGAGUUUGUAGUGGUAGAAAAUUUAAGAUCUGGAAGAGGGAUGAAUUUAUGUUGAAUAAAUAUGGUUUUUGAGGUUGUCAGUAGUAUAAUAAAUGUUCUAGAGUAUAAAUUUGUUGAUGAUCUUUGAAUUUGUGGCUUAUGGAUCAAAUUCUAAACUAGAUCUGAAAAUAUAUGUUGAUUUAUUGAGGUUUAGAUGAUUAUUUGGGAUGAGAAAUGAAUUAUUAUGGUUAUAGGAUUAUGAUUCUAAGCUAGAGACUCAAUUUUUAAUUUUUGGAUAUUUUAGGUACGAAUUUAUGAAAUAAAAAGAAAAUUUUGAUAAUAGAAAUUAGUUUAGAAGUUGAUUUUUAGAUUAUUAAUGUUUAUUGAUAAUUAAAAGAGGAGUUAAAAACUUUACUUAAUAGUAUUAACUAUAGAUUUGUAUUAAGAUUGAGAUUAGGAAUUAUGUUAUAUUUUUAAUUCUAUUAUUAGAAUUAUUUUAUUAGUUUCAAAAAUUAAAACUAAUAUUUAUAAAUAAUAUGUUAUUUUGUAGAUUGUAUUACUGGUGAAGAUUGUGGUGAGAGAGAAAUUUUAAGGAAUAAUUUAUUGAAAAAGCCACAAGGAGAAGAGCCACGAGUGACACGUGGAGGAGUCCCAGAGGCUCAGUGGUAUAGAUCCACUGUCUCUUUUGGGUAUUUAAUUUAUGAUUUAUAAUGUGUUAUAUUGCCAAUAUUAGGGCUUUUUAUUUAUUAUCAAUUAUAUGAAUAUAUAAAUGUAAUCAUGCCUUUCAAACUAUUUCUAUUUUUGGUACAAUUUGGAUGACUGUAAUUUUAAUAUUUGGUUUACUUUGGAUUGGUUAAAAUGGCAUGAUUAUAAGGCCAAAUAACUGGCUUGUGGUGAAAAUUGACUAAAUUGCUUAUUUUACUUGUUGGGAGUAUAAGGAUGGACAAAUGUGAUUUAGUUUACUUGUUGGGAGUAUAAGGAUAGACAAAUGUGAUUUAGCCUAAUGGCAUGUGGGAGGUAAAAAUUUAUCUGAAAUGUUAUAGUGUGUGAGUUGAAGCUAAUUAUAAAAUAUUUUAUAUUCAAAUUAUUGAUAUAAGAAUGUGUUGGGUGGCUGUAACCCAACUAUGGUUGAGUUAAAUUAUUUUUAAAAAAAAAAUUUGGUGUGUUACAGAAUGGAGCUUUAAUGAGUAUAUGCUUUAAUCUAAGCAACAAAAUCAAAUCUAAGUUUCUUCGCCUCACAGAAGAAGAGAGUUAAUGGAACUUGGCAUAACAAUGGGAAGAACAUUUGUUGAACACAUUUGUAUAUCCUCUCUCUUGGUUUGUGUGUGUGUGUGUGUGUGUUUGUUUGUUUGUUUUCUUUGGUUGCUUCUUUCUGUUCCAGUCAAUAUCAAUAUAGUGCUUGGCACUGAAUAUUGCAGGAAGAUGAGAGAAGCUUAUAAUGCCAAGAAUGAUAAAUGUGGCUAUUUUUAGAAAUAGAUUGAUUAAGCAACGAAAGUUGUUAACCGUUUUGAAAUCAGAAUGGCCAUUUUGUAGGAGAAUAUUCAGCAGAUGAUGCAUGGAACUUUGUAGUGGUGGAAGUGAGGAGGUGCAAAAGUUCAGUAUACAAAGUGAUGAAGAAAAGUCUGAAGAAUAUAUAAUUCUGAGGAUUAAAUCAUUGUGAAAAUCUUAGAAAAGAUGGUAUAUCUAAUUCUCAAACUGUACAAUCUUUGUAAUGGAAGUCUCAUCUAAUGAAUAAUGAGAAGAUUUUAUUGUUUGUGAUAUGUGGACUUCUUCGUUUUACUUUCAUGUUGAUUUGGUACGUAAAUAUGUUGACGGUAAGUAGAUUUAUUGCUUUUACUUAAGUUUUGGCUGGGGAGGAAGGGUCCUACCUCUCGCCAUUAUCUGGAUAUCAGUUCUUUUCCCUAUUUCUUCUUCAAAGUCUUCUUUCUUUCAUGUUAAUUGCUUGGUAAAACACAUUGAAGAUAUAAUUUCUAUUUAUGUUGGUCAAAAUUUAAAAUUUUAGAAUGAUGAAAACUUGAUAAUCUCUUAAGCCACAUUGUAAUGUGUCAAGUUAAGCUUCUGAAUCUUUAAAAGUAUUGCAAACCAAUAGUUCAAGGAAAAAUUAGUGAGUAACAAUAAAAUUUGAUUGAAAUUAUACCAUACUGUAACUGAUGAAUCUGUGUUGGUAAAAACUAAUUGAUUUCUGAAACCAUACUAAGGUUAAAUCAAGGAACAAGGUGUCUUAGCCAGUGAUAUCAAUAAACUACCUUAGAAGUGC